UACGUAGGGUGCAAGCGUUAAUCGGAAUUACUGGGCGUAAAGCGUGCGCAGGCGGUUUUGUAAGUCUGUCGUGAAAUCCCCGGGCUUAAUCUGGGAAUGGCGAUGGAGACUGCAAGGCUAGAGUUUGGCAGAGGGGGGUAGAAUUCCACGUGUAGCAGUGAAAUGCGUAGAGAUGUGGAGGAACACCGAUGGCGAAGGCAGCCCCCUGGGUCAAGACUGACGCUCAUGCACGAAAGCGUGGGGAGCAAACAGG
rnacentral:rRNA from 1 species